rnacentral:ncRNA from 1 species
UGCGCAGAGCGUGCUUCAGCACCACCUUGGGGAAGCUCACGCCCUUGAGCCGCGCGGUGCGGAUAUAUUGGGCGGUCAUCACCUCGGCCAUGCUCGCCCGUGUCAUGCGGGCGAUGUAGCCCAUGCCAUAGAGGGCGAUGGUCAUCACCGGCAGGGUGAAAUUCGCGAAAGUUGCAUCC